AUUGAACGCUGGCGGCAGGCCUAACACAUGCAAGUCGAGCGGAUGAAGGGAGCUUGCUCCUGGAUUCAGCGGCGGACGGGUGAGUAAUGCCUAGGAAUCUGCCUGGUAGUGGGGGAUAACGUCCGGAAACGGGCGCUAAUACCGCAUACGUCCUGAGGGAGAAAGUGGGGGAUCUUCGGACCUCACGCUAUCAGAUGAGCCUAGGUCGGAUUAGCUAGUUGGUGGGGUAAAGGCCUACCAAGGCGACGAUCCGUAACUGGUCUGAGAGGAUGAUCAGUCACACUGGAACUGAGACACGGUCCAGACUCCUACGGGAGGCAGCAGUGGGGAAUAUUGGACAAUGGGCGAAAGCCUGAUCCAGCCAUGCCGCGUGUGUGAAGAAGGUCUUCGGAUUGUAAAGCACUUUAAGUUGGGAGGAAGGUCAGUAAGUUAAUACCUUGCUGUUUUGACGUUACCAACAGAAUAAGCACCGGCUAACUUCGU
rnacentral:rRNA from 1 species